UACAGAGGGGGCAAGCGUUGUUCGGAAUUACUGGGCGUAAAGGGCGCGUAGGCGGCCUUCUAAGUCGAACGUGAAAUCCCCGGGCUCAACCCGGGAACUGCGUCCGAUACUGGAAGGCUUGAAUCCGGGAGAGGGAUGCGGAAUUCCAGGUGUAGCGGUGGAAUGCGCAGAUAUCAGGAAGAACACCGGUGGCGAAGGCGGCUCUCUGGGCCUUACCUGACGCUGAGGAGCGAAAGCCAGGGGAGCAAACGGG
rnacentral:rRNA from 1 species